rnacentral:lncRNA from 1 species
CGAGAAGGGAGAGUGAAAGAAGAGGAUAGAGAUUUUCUUUCUACUUCAAAAUACAUCUUUCCAGUCACUUUGGGCUGCCUCUGUGAAAAGUUUGUGGAAACAUCUAGGUCCCCUGGUUCGUGAUGCAGAGUCCUUCAUUCAGUUUCCAGUGCAACCCUUUCUGAUGAAUUCACCCCCGAGUCACUUUUACUAUCAUGGGAUCCUUACUAUCAUGGGAUCCACCAUAUUAAAAUGGCGCUUAGGAGCUGGGUGAGGCAGUGAGGAGGACGACAAUGGAAAGACUGAGCAGCAAGAAGAGAGGAGGGUGAGGCGGUAACCCACAUGGCUGAGGGGAGAAAGUUAACUGAACUGCCUUGGAAAUAGGCUCCACAUUAUUUUUGGAUCAAGCCUUAGUGUUCUAUCUCGUGUUUGACAGAGCGGAUUAUGUUUUAACUUUUCUUCCUCUACAUGACAAAGUUAUUUUGAGGAAUAAUCAUGAAAUGAAACAAAUAAUUAAUGGCCAGGAAACUUUAAAUAGUGAAUAUUUUCUUUUACUGACCCUUAUAUGGUAAUGUCAGUAAAAAUAAAUAAAUAAAAAUAAAGAUGCC